rnacentral:sRNA from 1 species
UGUCAGGAAGGAGCCUGCUUUGAAAUCAAACGUGGUUAUUGCAUGGUUUGUGUGGAACCGGGGCCCAGGCAGGUGUGAGUGCAGGUCUUCUGUGUGCCAGCCGAAGCACGUAGCUUGUCGCCUCUCCGACAGACGUGGAGGCCAUGAAGACGUCUGCUCCUGCCAGCAUUUCCGCCGCUGCCUCCUGGUCUAAAAGUGGGCUGACCUGGGGACAGCCCCUCAUCAGACAGAUGCGUGCUGCCGGCCUCCUGCCGCUCCCCUUGCUGGUCAGACCUGCAGGGUCCGUGCACGUCCGGGGCCCUAGUGGGCUGUCGGAAGCCAUGCAGGCCCCAUCCGUAUGGUGACACCCAAGGCAACAUGCCAAGGGGACGCAAGCUGGGCACGUCCAGUACUACGUCAACCCGGUCCCUGUGGGGUGGGGCCUGCCUUCCCUGGGGCAGUGAGUUCGCCUUUUGUUCAAGGGUCUCUGGGUACCAGUAUGGUGUUCGAGCUCUCACUGCACAGGAAGCCAGCUACAGGGAGGAAGCUCGUAGGUUUCCCGUCCAUGGCCUGUAUCCCUGGGGCCCCUGGAUUCUUCCCUGGGAUGGUGGGACAGGGGGACGGUCACUCUGUUGGUACUGAAAAGGAGAGGCCCUCGUUCCUAGACAGAGACCUCUUGCCUCCAUAUGGCUUCUCUGGUGGGGUGGAUCCCGCCCGGCCUGCCCUCAGGACGAGGCCGUGUCCUGAGUUGAGUCUAGCAGUUCCUGCAGGAGGCGAUGGUAGUGAGUGCAUCCCAGAGUGGCUCAGGUCACCCCAGGCAGCCCCGUGGGGAUCCCUGAGACUGACCGUGUGUCUCGUUCUCUCAGCAGAAUGGGUGCGCACAGCCUCGGGACCGCGACUCAGAAUUCACCCCUCUUGCCUCUCUGCAGAGCCCAGGCUACCAGAGCACCUGUCCCUCGGCCACCUGGUACAGCUCCUGCUCUCAGCAGGUGACACUCGCAGCCUGGAAGGAGAAGGUGUCCACGGAGCCCCCGCCCACCCUCAGCGGUUCCCGUCACCGCUGCAGUUCCAUCCCAAGUCACAGCUGCCCUGGGUCCCAUGUGGGAAUGCUUGUGUGAUGGAUGGUCCUAAGCCUGUGGAGACUGUGCACGUGCCUCUUCCUGGCCCCCAGCAGGCAGGGAGGGGGGUCACAGGCCCUGCCCUCGAGCGUGGCACGCUGGCCGCCUGGACCCAGCACUGUGGUUGUUGAGCCACACCGGUGGUCUCCGGGCAUUCGGCUCAACGCAGGAGGGACAUUCUGCUGGCCCACCCUGCGCGCUGUCAUGCAGAGGCCAUUCCCCCAGGCCUGUGUCUUCCCCCACCUGCCGUCAUCGGCCUUUGCUGUCACUGGGAGAGAAGAGCCGUCCAGGGACCCAUGGUGGACCACAUGUGGACACCACAUGCUGCUGUUUCCUGCUUGUGCGGCCGCCACCUGUGCUCUCCAUAGGGCGAGGUAGAGCCAUGGCAGUGCGUCCUUUACUCAACAACCCUCCAAUCCUCAUGCUGUGGGAAGGUCCGGGUCACUCGGAUACCAUCAUCCCUGCGGAUGCACGGCCGUACCCUGCUCAUCUGGGAGUGGUUUCCCUGCGGUUACGUCCAAGUCCGCCUGCCCUGUGUGUCGGGGCUGGCUGAGUUUCGGUCUCCCCACCACCGGCCGCCUCGUGGAGAAGGCAGUGCCACAUAGGAGGACAAGGCCACGCUGGCAGCUUCUAGCCCUGCAGCAAAAGUGCCAGGAUGUCCAUCAGCCACUCACCAGGGCACGGAGCCGUCAGUCCACUGUUACGCGAGAAUGUUGAUCUCACGGGUGCGAGGGCCGGGAGACAGAUACUUGGCUGUGAUGAGCAGACAUCCUCUGUCCCCGUGGAGGGGUCAACACCAAGGUGGUGUUUGUGCACCAGAACCUGUCUCGGGCUGAUGGGGGCAGCCCACAGGACAUGGGUGGAUCCCAACAGGCAGCACUGCACCUCCACCCACCUCCCGCGCUGCAGCUCUGCCCACCGGGCUCUGUGUCCCCACGUCCCCACAUCCCCACGUCCCCUCGUCCCCUCGCGUCCCCUCAUCCUCACGUCCCCACGUCCCACGUCCCCACGUCCCAUGUCCCCAUGUCCCUCGUCCCCACGUCCCCUCGUCCCCCGUCCCACGUCCCCACGUCCCUCGUCCCCACGUCCCCUCGUCCCCUCGUCCCCACGCAGGGCUCUCCUUCGUCUUAGGAUCUGUCCAGCGCUGCUCUGGGUGGCUUAGCAACCCGAGGGCUGCUGUGAUAGGAAGUCCCUGUUGCUUUCUGUACUGGCAUUUCUAUUUCUAGAAAUAAUCUUUGACGUAGCCUUAAUGGUCCUUAAAGAAGACAUUUCAGUGUGAGAUUCAGACUUCAGACGCUGAAACUGCUGCCUUUCAGGAAAGCACCACCAACGCUGGAGGAGGAGCCGGCCCUCACGCCCGCCGCCACGCUGUGAAACGGGGCUCCGGCAAGUGAAACCCAGAGGGUGUUUCUGAGGUGCUCGACAGUAGGUAUUUUUGGAAGCUCAAAUUUCACCAUUUGAUUGUAUAAUCUUUUACCUAUAAAAUAUUUAUUUGAACUAGAGGAUAAAUCAGCAGUAAGAACAGUGAACACAGUGGUUGGGAUAAAAUAAGGUGACAAAUAAACACCACACCAAAGAUGAGGGUAGUGAGCAACUGGCUUGAGCAGACAGAACGGGGAAGACUCCACUCUGUCCCGAGGGGCGAGCCGCAGGCGUCCCCAGGGCCACCCUGCCCUGAGGUCCUUGUGUGGCCACCCUGGCUUGGCAGCCCUGCCCACGCUACCCCCGCAAACAGUGGUGUGUGCAUUUUUACAGCCCUUUUUAAGAACCCAAUAUGGGCAUAAAUGUAAUACCUGUAGCGGGGGCAGAUUCUCUGUAUGUUCAGUUAACAAAUUAUUUGUAAUGUAUUUUUUUAGAAAUCUUAAAAUUGCCUUUGCACUGAAGUAUUUUCAUAGCUGUUUAUAUCUCUUUUAUUCAUUUAUUUAACAUUGUCUAAUUUAAAAAAUAGGUUUUUAAAGCUUUCAUUUUUAAGUUUAUGAAAUUUUGGCCAUUUUACAUUUAGAUUCUGGUGAGAGUUUUGACUGAAUGUUCCAGUCUCUGAUGAAUGUGAAUUUUCAGAUUUGAUUUUAUUCUCUACACACACUUCUUCCUUUCUUGGUAUUUCUGGUGGCAGUGAUUAGUUGAACAGCAUAUUUAAGGCAGGAUAAUUUGCUACAUUUUUUCUUUACAAUUUGUUGCAAUUUCAUCUGCUUUCUAUGUUUCAUUGUUAAUUGCCAUCCUUCAGCCUUAAAAAUAGAAGAUUCUCACGUGAAGGUUUAGUAAGUUGGGUCCCAGCUCUGCCUGUGUGGAGAUAGUCACCAUGUACCUCUGACAACAAGUCUUAGUGUGAAAGUCACUAAACUUUUACACACUCCCAAACGUCUUUUAAAAAAUUGCUUGGGAAAUUAUUAAAUGAAUGUGCCUGAUCAUUUGAAAUAACAAGGGACACGAGAU